AGAGGGCUAGCGCAAAUUGUGUCACCGGCAACUCGCUGAGGCACUUCCUGUUGCAGGUUGCGGUGCCGCGGCGAAUCGUGGCAGCUGCCUCGAGUUUACGGCAACUGCCUCGCCUGUUGCCUCGGCUGAGUGAGGUACCUCGAGCGGUACCACGAAUUCAGGGGCCGGUUCAUCGGUCGAGAGAGGUACCUCUAGCGGUACCUCGAGUUACGGGAGUCUUGCCACGACCUAACGGAGGCAUGCAACGACCAAAGGGAGCGGUGCAUCGGCUGAUAGAGGUACCGGGAGUUUAAGGGAGAGGUGCCACGGCUGUUAACGUACCGGGAGUUUAAGGGAGGGGUGCCACGGCUGUUUCCAUUAAUUUUAGUAUUCAUAUGUAUGCAACAUGUGACAGUAUAAUACAGUUUAAGUACGACUGUUAUCUGCGGGUUGAGUUGCCGUGGCGAGUCGCGGCAGCGGCCACAACUUCACGACAGCUGCCUCGACUUUGCGGCAAUGAUGCCUCGACUGUUGCAGUUUUCUUUUCAUAUUUUGACAAAAUGUGACAAUAUUUUCCUGCACUAUCCUGUACUAUCCUGUACUCUGUGCUUAAGAGUACGUUGUGUUGUUGGUUGUAAUUGGUUUAGUCAUAAAACGCCGAUAAGUGAUGCAAUGUGCAUGUGACCGCAUGAGGCCCAAACAGCAUCAUUCCAGCUAUUGUAAACAUCACGUGAUCAAUCAGCUUGCCACAGUUCCUGUCUUGCAGGUCCUCUGGCGAGCGCAACUGCCACGACUUGCCGCGGCAGUCAACAUGACAUGCUGCAGCAGCUGCCACGGCUUGCAAAGCAGUUAUCUCGACAUGCAGCUAUACCAGGGGUGGGCAAACUACGGGUAUUAUGAAUUAUAAAUUAUAGUAACGACCGCUGUAACACUUCUCCGUUCCCGACUUGAGUUUCCUAAAGCACGAUGACUGCAAAAGACCAGCAUAGUUGGUUUUGCUGUUUAUAUUUGUAAUAGUAUGGCUACUUUUAAGUCAUAUGUGUUUGUGGGUUUUUAAAAUGUUUUUUGUUUAUUUAUUUGUUAUUUUAUUUUAUUAUAUUUAAUAUAUAUAUCACACACACACACUUUUGAAAGACAAGUUAUUGACCCAUUUAGCCACAAGAGGGACCCAUUUAGCCACGAGAGGGAGUAUACCUUUAGGUGAGCAUCACCUGUUUACCAGGAGUAAACAAAUGCAGCUCACAUUCACUAGGCUUUUGAGCACUUUUUAAUAUCACCCCCGUUAUAUAACGUUUUUUUAAACCGUAUUUUUUUUCUAACUUUAUAAAACUAUAGUGAAAUGUUAUUUGUUUGCGCAGCUGUUUUUUUACACAAUUCUAGUACUGGUGUAGUUGCUGUUGCAACACUACAGCACUGCCUGCUUCUGUUGCCAAAAUGUAGUGAAUAUAACCUUUUAUCAUAUAUCUGUAUAUUUUUAAUUGUAUUAGUCUAAUUUACCUUUUUUGUCAUAAAGCUCCAACCAAAUCUAA